GCAGUGUGAAAAACUCCGGUGGUACAAGAUGGACCCGCGUCUGAUUAGCUGGUUGGUGAGGUAACGGCCCACCAAGGCAACGAUCAGUAGCCGGCCUGAGAGGGUGAACGGCCACAUUGGGACUGAGACACGGCCCAAACUCCUACGGGAGGCAGCAGUGGGGAAUAUUGCACAAUGGGGGAAACCCUGAUGCAGCAACGCCGCGUGAGUGAAGAAGUAUUUCGGUAUGUAAAGCUCUAUCAGCAGGAAAGAAAAUGACGGUGCCUGACUAAGAAGCCCCGGCUAACUACGUGCCAGCAGCCGCGGUAAUACGUAGGGGGCAAGCGUUAUCCGGAUUUACUGGGUGUAAAGGGCGCGUAGGCGGACUGUCAAGUCAGUCGUGAAAUACCGGGGCUUAACCCCGGGGCUGCGAUUGAAACUGACAGCCUUGAGUAUCGGAGAGGAAAGCGGAAUUCCUAGUGUAGCGGUGAAAUGCGUAGAUAUUAGGAGGAACACCAGUGGCGAAGGCGGCUUUCUGGACGACAACUGACGCUGAGGCGCGAGAGUGUGGGGAGCAAACAGGAUUAGAUACCCUGGUAGUCCACACCGUAAACGAUGGAUACUAGGUGUAGGAGGUAUCGACCCCUUCUGUGCCGCAGUUAACACAAUAAGUAUCCCACCUGGGGAGUACGACCGCAAGGUUGAAACUCAAAGGAAUUGACGGGGGCCCGCACAAGCAGUGGAGUAUGUGGUUUAAUUCGAAGCAACGCGAAGAACCUUACCUGGGCUUGACAUCCCCGGAAUCGAGUAGAGAUACUUGAGUGCCUUCGGGAAUCAGGUGACAGGUGGUGCAUGGUUGUCGUCAGCUCGUGUCGUGAGAUGUUGGGUUAAGUCCCGCAACGAGCGCAACCCCUAUUGUCAGUUGCCAUCAUUAAGUUGGGCACUCUGGCGAGACUGCCGGUGACAAAUCGGAGGAAGGUGGGGACGACGUCAAAUCAUCAUGCCCCUUAUGCCCAGGGCUACACACGUACUACAAUGGCCGAUAACAAAGUGCAGCGAAACCGUGAGGUGGAGCGAAUCACAAAACUCGGUCUCAGUUCAGAUUGCAGGCUGCAACUCGCCUGCAUGAAGUUGGAAUUGCUAGUAAUCGCGGAUCAGAAUGCCGCGGUGAAUACGUUCCCGGGCCUUGUACACACCGCCCGUCACACCAUGAGAGUCGAUAACUCCCGAAGCCUGUGAGCUAACCUUUUAGGAGGCAGCAGUCGAAGGUGGGGUUGAUGAUUGGGGGUGAAGUCGUAACAAGGUA
rnacentral:rRNA from 1 species